rnacentral:rRNA from 1 species
AUUGAACGCUGGCGGCAGGCUUAACACAUGCAAGUCGAGCGGGGGAGGUUGCUUCGGUAACUGACCUAGCGGCGGACGGGUGAGUAAUGCUUAGGAAUCUGCCUAUUAGUGGGGGACAACAUUCCGAAAGGGAUGCUAAUACCGCAUACGCCCUACGGGGGAAAGCAGGGGAUCUUCGGACCUUGCGCUAAUAGCUGAGCCUAAGUCGGAUUAGCUAGUUGGUGGGGUAAAGGCCUACCAAGGCGACGAUCUGUAGCGGGUCUGAGAGGAUGAUCCGCCACACUGGGGCUGAGACACGGCCCAGACUCCUACGGGAGGCAGCAGUGGGGAAUAUUGGACAAUGGGCGGAAGCCUGAUCCAGCCAUGCCGCGUGUGUGAAGAAGGCCUUUUGGUUGUAAAGCACUUUAAGCGAGGAGGAGGCUCUUAAGGUUAAUACCCUUGAUGAGUGGACGUUACUCGCAGAAUAAGCACCGGCUAAUUUCGUGCCAGCCGCCGCCGUAAAAC